GGACUUACAUCAGAAAUAUGGAAACACUGGCUAUACUAAAGAUAAUCAAGCAUUGCAAGGAGUUUAACUCAUUCAUAUCAUUUUUGAGAUGUUCAUGGUCAGUUUUCAGAUUUGUUAAGAUUGUUUGAGUAUGGUGGAUUUCCACCUGAAGCAAACUAUCUGUUACUAGGAGACUAUGUGGACCGUGGUAAGCAGAGUAUAGAGACUAUAUGCCUUCUUCUCGCGUACAAGAUCAAGUACAAGGAGAAUUUCUUUCUUGAUGCAAACCGAACAAUGACUUCAAAGUACAAUCAGUUCACCAUUCAAGUAGUUGAACCAAUGGAAGAUUAGGAAGAAGUUACCUUUUUUUUUUUUUUUUACAGUAAUUUUA